rnacentral:rRNA from 1 species
UAGCGAGGGGGGCAAGCGUUUGUUCGGAAUUAUUGGGCGUAAAGGGUGCGUAGGCGGUCUGACAAGUCUGAUGUGAAAUCUAUGGGCUCAACCCAUAGCCGUGCAUCGGAAACUGUCGGGCUUGAGUAUUGGGAGAGGUGAGUGGAAUUUCCGGUGUAGCGGUGAAAUGCGUAGAUAAUCGGAAGGAACACCUGUGGCGAAAGCGGACUCACUGGACCAUUACUAGAGCGCUGAGGCACGAAAG